rnacentral:rRNA from 1 species
AACGUAGGAGACAAACGUUAUCCGGAGUUACUGGGCGUAAAGGGCGUGUAGGUGGUUGUGUAAGUUCGGCGUGAAAUCUCUCGGCUUAACCGGGAGUGGUCGUCGGAUACUGCACGACUAGAGGACGGUAGAGGCGUGUGGAAUUCCGGGUGUAGUGGUGAAAUGCGUAGAGAUCCGGAGGAACACCAGUGGCGAAGGCGACACGCUGGGCCGUACCUGACACUGAGGCGCGAUAGCAUGGGGAGCAAAC